AAAUUGAAGAGUUUGAUCAUGGCUCAGAUUGAACGCUGGCGGCAGGCCUAACACAUGCAAGUCGAACGGUAACAGGAAGCAGCUUGCUGCUUCGCUGACGAGUGGCGGACGGGUGAGUAAUGUCUGGGAAACUGCCUAAUGGAGGGGGAUAACUACUGGAAACGGUGGCUAAUACCGCAUAACGUCGCAAGACCAAAGAGGGGGACCUUCGGGCCUCUUGCCAUCAGAUGUGCCCAGAUGGGAUUAGCU
rnacentral:rRNA from 3 species